UGGCGGACGGGUGAGUAAUGCCUAGGAAUCUGCCUAGUAGUGGGGGACAACGUUUCGAAAGGAACGCUAAUACCGCAUACGUCCUACGGGAGAAAGUGGGGGAUCUUCGGACCUCACGCUAUUAGAUGAGCCUAGGUCGGAUUAGCUAGUUGGUAGGGUAAAGGCCUACCAAGGCGACGAUCCGUAACUGGUCUGAGAGGAUGAUCAGUCACACUGGAACUGAGACACGGUCCAGACUCCUACGGGAGGCAGCAGUGGGGAAUAUUGGACAAUGGGCGAAAGCCUGAUCCAGCCAUGCCGCGUGUGUGAAGAAGGCCCUCGGGUCGUAAAGCACUUUAAGUUGGGAGGAAGGGCUUACAGCGAAUACCUGUGAGUUUUGACGUUACCGACAGAAUAAGCACCGGCUAACUUCGUGCCAGCAGCCGCGGUAAU
rnacentral:rRNA from 1 species